CUGUUAUUUGUACAUUGUAGGGUGAAAACCUUGCUCGAUUUUUUUGCAUGUUGUACAACAGACCGGAAGGCAAUAUUGGACCUCUGUCUGUUGUACAAGCAAACAUCCCAUCCCAACCAAACCUGCAUGACUGUGGAGUUAUAAUGUUACAAGCAAUGCAAAUUUGGGAUGGUUCGAAUAAAUUCAAUGGGAAAAGCAUGCCAAAUUACUCUAAUGAGGAAUUGCUUGCAAUAAGAAAGUAAUACGUACAUGAUUGGAUCUUGGAUAACGACAACAUAAGAAUACUAGAUGCGCUGGAGGUGUACGGAUUGUUGUAGAACAUUUGUUGUUUUGUAAAAAUGUAGGGCAGUUUGUUUUUGUAUAGUUUGUAAGAUACACAAAUGUAUAUGA